rnacentral:rRNA from 1 species
GACGAAGGAUGCAAGCGUUAUCCGGAUUCAUUGGGUUUAAAGGGAGCGUAGGUGGCCUUAUAAGUCAGUGGUGAAAUCUCUGGGCUUAACCCAGAAAUUGCCAUUGAUACUGUAGGGCUUGAGUACAGUUGCUGUGGGCGGAAUAUGACAUGUAGUGGUGAAAUACAUAGAGAUGUCAUAGAACACCGAUUGCGAAGGCAGCUCACAAAACUGUAACUGACACUGAGGCUCGAAAGCGUGGGGAUCAAACAGG